rnacentral:rRNA from 1 species
UACGUAGGUGGCAAGCGUUGUCCGGAUUUAUUGGGUUUAAAGGGUGCGUAGGCGGCCCUGUAAGUCAGUGCUGAAAUAUCCCGGCUUAACCGGGAGGGUGGCAUUGAUACUGCGGGGCUAGAGUACAGAUGAGGUAGGCGGAAUUGGACGGUGUAGCGGUGAAAUGCUUAGAUAUCGUCAAGAACACCUAUAGCGAAGGCAGCUUACUAGGCUGUAACUGACGCUGAGGCACGAAAGUGUGGGGAUCAAACAGG